rnacentral:rRNA from 1 species
GUGAGGAAUAUUGCGCAAUGGAGGCAACUCUGACGCAGCCAUGCCGCGUGCAGGAAGAAGGCGCUACGCGUUGUAAACUGCUUUUAACCGGGAAGAAACCCCAGGACGUGUCCUGGGUUGACGGUACCGGAGGAAUAAGCACCGGCUAACUUCGUGCCAGCAGCCGCGGUAAUACGAAGGGUGCAAGCGUUAUCCGGAUUCAUUGGGUUUAAAGGGUGCGUAGGCGGAGCGUUAAGUCAGUGGUGAAAUCCUGCAGCUUAACUGUAGACUUGCCAUUGAUACUGGCGAUCUUGAGUGCGCUUGAAGUGGGCGGAAUGUGCCGUGUAGCGGUGAAAUGCUUAGAUAUGGCACAGAACACCAAUUGCGAAGGCAGCUCACUAAGGCGAUACUGACGCUGAGGCACGAAAGCGUGGGGAUCGAACAGGAUUAGAAACCCCAGUAGUCC